rnacentral:rRNA from 1 species
ACUCCUACGGGAGGCAGCAGUGAGGAAUAUUGCACAAUGGGGGAAACCCUGAUGCAGCAACGCCGCGUGGAGGAUGACGCAUUUCGGUGUGUAAACUCCUUUUAUGAGUCAAGAAAAUGACGGUAGCUCAUGAAUAAGCACCGGCUAACUCCGUGCCAGCAGCCGCGGUAAUACGGAGGGUGCAAGCGUUACUCGGAAUCACUGGGCGUAAAGGACACGUAGGCGGGAUGGAAAGUCAGGUGUGAAAUCCUACAGCUUAACUGUAGAACUGCACUUGAAACUUCCAACCUAGAGUAUGGGAGGGGGAGAUGGAAUUAGUGGUGUAGGGGUAAAAUCCGUAGAUAUCACUAGGAAUACCGAAAGCGAAGGCGAUCUCCUGGAACAAUACUGACGCUAAGGUGUGAAAGCGUGGGGAGCAAACGGGAUUAGAUACCCCGGUAGUCCACGCCCUAAACGAUGAACACUAGUCGUCGGAAUGCUAGUCAUUUCGGUGAUGCACUUAACAGAUUAAGUGUUCCGCCUGGGGAGUACGGUCGCAAGAUUAAAACUCAAAGGAAUAGACGGGGACCCGCACAAGUGGUGGAGCAUGUGGUUUAAUUCGAAGAUACGCGAAGAACCUUACCUAGCCUUGACAUUGAUAGAACACACUAGAGAUAGAGUGGUGCCCUUCGGGGAGCUUGAAAACAGGUGCUGCACGGCUGUCGUCAGCUCGUGUCGUGAGAUGUUGGGUUAAGUCCCGCAACGAGCGCAACCCUCGUCCUUAGUUGCCAGCAGGUUAAGCUGGGCACUCUAAGGAGACUGCCUUCGCAAGGAGGAGGAAGGUGAGGACGACGUCAAGUCAUCAUGGCCCUUAUGGCUAGGGCUACACACGUGCUACAAUGGGGCGUACAGAGAGUUGCGAUACCGCGAGGUGGAGCCAAUCUCAUAAAGCGUCUCUCAGUUCGGAUUGGAGUCUGCAACUCGACUCCAUGAAGCUGGAAUCACUAGUAAUCGUAGAUCAGCAAUGCUACGGUGAAUACGUUCCCGGGUCUUGUACUCACCGCCCGUCACACCAUGGGAGUUGAUUUCACCCGAAAUUGGGAAGCUAACCUUCGGGGGGCUA